rnacentral:rRNA from 1 species
GAGGNCANCACAUGAAGCAGCAAUGCCGAUGGUGGCGACCGGCGCACGGGUGAGUAACACGUAUGCAACCUACCUUCAACACGGGGAUAACCCGGAGUAAUCCGGACUAAUAUCCGAUAAUACAGGGGUUCCGCAUGGGAAUAUUUGUUAAAGAUUUAUUGGUUGAAGAUGGGCAUGCGCUCCAUAGGUAGUUGGUGAGGUAACGGCUCACCAAGCCAACGAUGGAUAGGGGAACUAAGAGGUUUAUCCCCCACACUGGAACUGAGACACGGUCCAGACUCCUACGGGAGGCAGCAGUGAGGAAUAUUGGUCAAUGGACGAGAGUCUGAACCAGCCAAGUCGCGUGAAGGAUGAAGGUCUUAUGGAUUGUAAACUUCUUUUGUCAGGGAAUAAAGUGUCCCGUGCGCGGGAUUUUGUAUGUACCUGACGAAUAAGGAUCGGCUAACUCCGUGCCAGCAGCCGCGGUAAUACGGAGGAUCCGAGCGUUAUCCGGAUUUAUUGGGUUUAAAGGGUGCGCAGGCGGGAAGUUAAGUCGGCGGUGAAAUUUUGCAGCUCAACUGUAAAAGUGCCUUCGAAACUGGCUUUCUUGAGUGUAGAUGAAGUANGCNGAAUUUUGUGGUGUAGCCGGUGAAAUGCAUAANAUAUCACGANGNACUUCGANUGCGCAGGCAGCUUACUAAACUACAACUGACGCUNAUGC